UACGAAGGGGGCUAGCGUUGCUCGGAUUGACUGGGCGUAAAGGGCGCGUAGGCGGUUCGUACAGUCAGACGUGAAAUUCCUGGGCUCAACCUGGGGGCUGCGUUUGAUACGUGCGGACUUGAGUGCGGAAGAGGGUCGCGGAAUUCCCAGUGUAGAGGUGAAAUUCGUAGAUAUUGGGAAGAACACCGGUGGCGAAGGCGGCGACCUGGUCCGAUACUGACGCGGAGGCGCGAAAGCGUGGGGAGCAAACAGG
rnacentral:rRNA from 1 species